UUGGAGGGCAAGUCUGGUGCCAGCAGCCGCGGUAAUUCCAGCUCCAAUAGCGUAUAUUAAAGUUGUUGCAGUUAAAAAGCUCGUAGUUGAAUUUCGGGGUCAGUAGGUUGGUCAUGCCACUGGUAUGUACUGGUCUCACUGAUUCCUCCUUCCUGAUGAACUGUAAUGCCAUUAAUUUGGUGUUGCAGGGAGUCUGGACUGUUACUUUGAAAAAAUUAGAGUGUUUAAAGCAGGCUAACGCCUGAAUACAUUAGCAUGGAAUAAUGAAAUAGGACGUUCGAUCCUAUUUUGUUGGUUUCUAGGAUUGACGUAAUGAUUAAUAGGGAUAGUUGGGGGCAUUAGUAUUCAAUUGUCAGAGGUGAAAUUCUUGGAUUUAUUGAAGACUAACUACUGCGAAAGCAUUUGCCAAGGAUGUUUUCAUUAAUCAAGAACGAAAGUUAGGGGAUCGAAGACGAUCAGAUACCGUCGCAGUCUUAACCAUAAACUGUGCCGACUAGGGAUCGGAUGAUGUUAAUUUUUUAAUGACUCAUUCGGCGCCUUACGGGAAACCAAAGUGUUUGGGUUC
rnacentral:rRNA from 1 species